rnacentral:lncRNA from 1 species
CAGAAUAAUUCCAUUUUUUGGGGCCGUUUCCAUUUCCCUGCUCUCUCCUCUGUCCCAGGGCAGGCAGGACCCAGCCAGGAUCCAACAGCAGAAAUGGGAAUUUUGGGAGAAGCCAGCAAAGACACAAACACAACUCCAGAGUGACAGAAAACUCAUUAAUUCAUCCGUUAAUUGCAGGCAAACCUGCGCCUCGAGACCAGGCUAAUUGCAGUUUGUAGUAGGCAUGCAAUAGUGAUUACACUGCUAUAUAUAGUUGUGGUGAUUUUUGUUUUUAUUUCUUCCUUUCUUCUCUUUUAUUCCUGUUUUUUAAAGGGUUUUAGUGCCCUGCAAAACCCACAGCAACCAAAGAGAACCCUUGUAAAAAAUUGUUUCUUUCUGAUCAUUUAUUCCCCAUCUAAUUUGAUUUUUUGUAGAAUUCAUUCCCCAUUUUUUAAAACCCUUUACUUGAACUAAAGAGAACUUUUAUUUUUUAAUUACGUCUUCCUUAGAAUUCAUUCCCCAAUUUAUUUCUUUAUUCAUUUUUGCACAAUCCAUUGCCCAUUCUAAAACCCUUUCCCACCUCACAACCCCACUGGCACCAACGCCC